rnacentral:rRNA from 1 species
UGGGGAAUUUUGGACAAUGGGCGCAAGCCUGAUCCAGCCAUGACGCGUGAGUGAAGAAGGCCUUCGGGUUGUAAAGCUCUUUCGGCCGGGAAGAAAUCGUGUUCUCUAACAUAGGACAUGGAUGACGGUACCGGACUAAGAAGCACCGGCUAACUACGUGCC